GUGCUUGCUUCGGCAGCACAUGCACUAAAAUUGGAAUGAUACAGAGAAGAUUAACAUGGCCCCUGCACAAGAAUGACGUACAAAUUCAUGAAGCAUUUCAUAUCUUU